ensembl:lncRNA
UCACUCUUUUCCUUUCGCUUCCCCUCACUCUCUUUAUUUUCUCCCCAUCCCUCUCUCCCAUCUCUCUCCCCUCUCUCUCUCCUCUUUCCCCCAUCCCUCUCUCUCCUCUCUCUCUGCCGAUCCCUUUCUCCCUUCCCUCUCUCCCCUCUCUCUCUCUCCCCUCUCUCUGCCGAUCCCUUUCUCCCUUCCCUCUCUCCCCUCUCUCUGCCGAUCUCUCUCUCUCCCAUCUCUCUCUCUCCCCUCUCUCUGCCGAUCCCUUUCUCCCUUCCCUCUCUCCCCUCUCUCUGCUUAUCCCUCUCUUCCAUCCCUUUCUCCCCUUUCUCUCUGCCGAUCUCUCUCCCCCAUCUCUCUCUCUCCCCUCUCUCUGCCGAUCCCUUUCUCCCUUCCCUCUCUCCCCUCUCUCUGCUUAUCUCUCUCUUCCAUCCCUCUCUCCCCUUUCUCUCUGCCGAUCUCUCUCUCCCAUCUCUCUCUCUCCCCUCUCUCUGCCGAUCCCUUUCUCCCUUCCCUCUCUCCCCUCUCUCUGCUUAUCCCUCUCUUCCAUCCCUCUCUCCCCUUUCUCCCAUCUCUCUCUCCCCUUUCUCUCUGCCGAUCUCUCUCUCUCCCUUCUCUCUGCCGAUCCCUUUCUCCCUUCCCUCUCUCUGCUUAUCCCUCUCUUCCAUCCCUCUCUCCCCUCUCUCUGCUUAUCCCUCUCUUCCACCCCUUUCUCCCCUUUCUCUCUGCCGAUCUCUCUCUCCCAUCUCCCUCUCUCCCCUCUCUCUGCUUAUCCCUCUCUUCCAUCCCUUUCUCCCUUUUCUCUCUGCCGAUCUCUCUCUCCCAUCUCCCUCUCUCCCCUCUCUCUGCCAAUCCCUUUCUCCUUUCCCUCUCUCCCCUCUCUCUGCCGAUCUCUCUCUCCCAUCUCUCUCUCCCCUCUCUCUGCCGAUCCCUUUCUCCCUUCCCUCUCUCCCCUCUCUCUGCUUAUCCCUCUCUUCCAUCCCUUUCUCCCCUUUCUCUCUGCCGAUCUCUCUCCCCCAUCUCUCUUUCUCCCCUCUCUCUGCCGAUCCCUUUCUCCCUUCCACCUCUCCCCUCUCUCUGCUUAUCUCUCUCUUCCAUCCCUCUCUCCCCUUUCUCUCUGCCGAUCUCUCUCUCCCAUCUCUCUCUCUCCCCUCUCACUGCCGAUCCCUUUCUCCCUUCCCUCUCUCCCCUCUCUCUGCUUAUCCCUCUCUUCCAUCCCUCUCUCCCCUUUCUCCCAUCUCUCUCUCGCCCCUUUCUCUCUGCCGAUCUCUCUCUCUCCCUUCUCUCUGCCGAUCCCUUUCUCCCUUCCCUCUCUCCCCUCUCUCUGCUUAUCCCUCUCUUCCAUCCCUCUCUCCCCUCUCUCUGCUUAUCCCUCUCUUCCAUCCCUCUCUCCCCUUUCUCUCUGCUGAUCCCUCUCUCCCAUCUCUCUCUCUCCCCUUUCUCUCUUCCGAUCUCUCUCUCCCAUCUCUCUCUCUCCCCUCUCUCUGCUUAUCCCUCUCUUCCAUCCCUCUCUCCCCUUUCUCUCUGCCGAUCCCUCUCUCCCAUCACUCUCUCUCCCCUCUCUCUGUCAUCCCUCUCUCCCCUCUCUCUCCCCUCUCUCUCUGCCCAUCCCUCUCUCCUAUCCCUCUCUCCAUUCCCUCUCUCCUCUCUCUCUAUGCCGAUCCCUCUCUCCCCUCUCUCUCUGCCUAUCCCUCUCUCCCAUCCCUCUCUCCCAUCCCUCUCUCCCAUCCCUCUCUCUGCCUGUAUUUCUCAGUGCCUGUGGAACCAGCGAUACCAGAGCUGUUCAGGUCAGUAUUUCUGUUCACCUGCCUUUCCGGCUUCCCCCUUGUGAGUGAAAGAGGGAGAGAUGGGGAGGGAAAGAGAGAGAGAGAGAGAGGGAGCGGGAGAGAGGCUGAGAGAUGGAAGGCCACUAGGGCUGAUAAUGGAUGUGGAGCACUCCCAGGCUCUCAGUGUGUAGUGAGAGAUGAGCACUAA